UGUGUCAGUGUGUGUUAGUCAUUUUUUAUAAAAGCCUGGUCAUCUCACGCAGAGACUCAUGGGAGUUGGAGUUUUGUAGAAGCACACUUUUUUUGGGGGCUUGUCUGUCAACCACGCUCUCAUCUGAACAAUAAGCUAAUCAGGACAGCUAAUUUUUCUCUCUCUCUCUCUCUCUCUCUCUCCCCAACUAUUUUUUCUCUGUCUCCCCUUCUCCUUCUCUGACUCUCUUUUCGUCUCAUUCUGUGUCUCUCUCAGUAUCUCUCUCCAUUUAUGUGUGUAUAUCUAUUUCUCUGUCCCUCUCUUUCUCCGUCAUUCUCCGUUCAUCUCUCUCUCUCUCUCAGUCGCUCUCUCUAUAUAUCUAUCUCCCUUUCUCUUUCUCAGUCUCUCUUAGUAUCUCUCUCUGUUUAUCUCUCUCUUUCUCUCGGUGUCUCUCCCUCUCUCUUUCUCGAUAUCUCUCUUUGUCCAUCUCUCUCGGUCUCUCUCCAUUCACCUCUCUCUUUCUCGGUCGCUCUCUCUCUGUACAUCCAUCUCCCUCUCUCUUCCUCGGUCUCUCUUAGUAUCUCUCUCUGCUUAUCUCCCUCUUCCUCUCGGUGUCUCUCUCUCCCUCUCUCUUUCUCGAUGUCUCUCUCUGUCCAUCUCUCUCCCUCUCUGUCUCUCUCGGUUGUGUCUCUCUCCCUCUCUCUCUCUCUCUCGGUGUCUCCCUCUGUUUAUAUCUCUCUGUAUAUCUCUCUCCCUCUCUCUUUCUUGGUCUCUCUCGGUGUCUCUCUCUGUUUAUCUCUCUCCCUCUCUCGGUGUCUCCCUCUGUUUAUAUCUCUCUGCAUAUCUCUCUCCCUCUCUCUUUCUUGGUCUCUCUCGGUGUCUCUCUUUGUCUCUCUCUGUACAUCUCUCUCUUUCUCGGUCUCUCUCUGUUUAUCUCUCUCCCUCUCUCUUUCUCGGUCUCUCUCGGGGUCUCUCACCGUACAUCUCUCUCGGUCUCUUGUGACAUUCUUAUCGGAGGUGACGGCAACUGUCGCUCUGGUUGUGCUUCUCAAUGUCUCUGCAUUUAAAAAAGCACACGAUAAAAAAGGAUCCCCUGUUGUUUCUCGUGCUUCCGCAUCGUGUUCUAUUGAAAUCUUUCUUUUACACUUUCUCUCUUGGUCUUUGCCGCACAGAUCUUGCUCGAUCCGUAUGCGUGCGUGCGUGCGUGUCUCUCUCUCUCUCUCUCCUAUGCAUCUUUCCCUCGCUUUAAUUUCUCGUUCUCUUUCCUCCUCUUUCAAUCGUUUCAUCUCUUUUGGAGUCUCUGGUUCUUUGGUCCUGAUUUUAUGGAAAGUUGAAAACACCCACAAAAGUGUGCAAACUGAUUUACUAACUCUUUCACACGAGUAAAAAGGUUUCC
ensembl:lncRNA